GACGAACGCUGGCGGCGUGCUUAACACAUGCAGGUCGAGCGGUAAGGCCCUUUCGGGGUACGACGAGCGGCGAACGGGUGAGUAACACGUGGGUGACCUGCCCUCAGCUCUGGGAUAAGCCUGGGAAACCGGGUCUAAUACCGGAUAUGACUCCAUGACGCAUGUUGUGGGGUGGAAAGCCUUGUGCGGCUGAGGAUGGGCCCGCGGCCUAUCAGCUUGUUGGUGAGGUAANGGCCCACCAAGGCGACGAUCGGUAGCUGGUCUGAGAGGAUGAUCAGCCUCACUGGGACUGAGACACGGCCCAGACUCCUACGGGAGGCAGCAGUAGGGAAUAUUGGACAAUGGGCGCAAGCCUGAUCCA
rnacentral:rRNA from 1 species